rnacentral:rRNA from 1 species
GAUUAACGCUGGCGGCGUGCAUAACACAUGCAAGUCGAACGAUGAAACUUUACUGACUUCUUCGGAAUGAUUUAAAGCGGAUUAGUGGCGAACGGGUGAGUAACGCGUGAGUAACCUGCCUUACACAAGGGGAUAGCCUCUGGAAACGGAGAAUAAUACCCUAUGAAACCAGACAAUCGCAUGAUAAUCUGGUCAAAAUGUUUAGUGGUGUAAGAUGGACUUGCGUCUGAUUAGCUAGUUGGUGAGAUAAAAGCUCACCAAGGCAACGAUCAGUAGCCGGCUUGAGAGAGUGUACGGCCACAUUGGGACUGAGACACGGCCCAGACUCCUACGGGAGGCAGCAGUGGGGAAUUUUGCACAAUGGGGGAAAACCUGAUGCAGCGACGCCGCGUGAUUUAGAAGGCCUUCGGGUUGUAAAAAUCUUUUGUAUAGGAAGAAAAUGACAGUACUAUACGAAUAAGGUCCGGCUAAUUACGUG